AUCGGCAUAGCAANCAGUGUAAACGGCAUUUCCCAUCAAGGAUAUGACAAAAUCUAAAAUGCCUGGUUGUACAUUCACUGAAUGCAACCAUCUGUCCAAAGUGGAUAAGGAUGGAAGUGGAAACCCCUUUUUGAGCAAAUGGCGAUAUGCCCGGGGACCAGCAGCAUGAAGAAAAAUCGCAUUCGAACUGUCAUCUCGAUUCCAUAAUACCCUUUUUCCGCCGUUCUCAAGUUCUCUCUAACUUGCGAAUUCGUGAAUAUUGAAUAAACUGAAGCUUUAAAUGUCUGAGGUUUUCCGAGUUGAGAGCUUUGCAUUUUCCCUUUGCAAGUCUGCAACUUGUUUUUGCAAACGCAAAUUUUCCAAUGCAAGCGCAGAAUCAAGUAAUUCUUGUCUGCAAAUUAAUCAUAAUAAUAUCCACAAAAAAGGAAAUCAAAGUUAAACAUACUCGGUUUGAGAGCUAAACUCAAAAACUGUAUCGCCACAAGCUGAUGCCAUAUGUUCUGUGAACACUUGAUUUGCUUCUGGUUUCUGGGGUACGGCAGUUGGUAUCAGCCAUCUCCGCUUUGCUCCAUUUACGGUCGUUCUGUAAAAAAAGUCGGAAUCACUAAAAUGUUUCCCACAAAUUUUACUUGUAUUAGUAAAUGUAACGCCGCUGCUCUUCGACCACACCUCCCUUCUGCUUUCGUCUCUUGCAACUAAAAUGCUUCCAUUCAAUGUUUUGGAUCGGCAUAGCAAACAAUAUGUUGCAGACAUGUUUAUUUCUAAAUAUAAACGAGAGGGACGUGUGAGACGCUUUUUACGCGUCACAACUUUUAUACCCGGCACUCAGUACUACAUCUGCACCUUAGCGGUGUUUUGUCAAAUUUAAAAUUUUUUCUUCAUCUGUCAUCUACAUCUACAACACUUCUCUUACCAACACGCUCCGUUAGCUCGCCGCCUUUCCCUAGACCAACACACUACAGACUCGAGGCAGCGGCAGAGGCACAGUUCGUACACAAAAAAAAAGACAGAAAAGCUGCGGGACUGGGUGGGUUAAAAGUCGGAAGAGGCAUUGGCAGGGGGAGGGCAGAGGCAGGGGCCGAGUGAAGCAGAAGCAGAGUGUGAAUGAGAGAAUGUAAAAAGAACAACAAAAGCUGCGGGACGGGUGGGUUUAGCCACUGCAAAUUAAUUUCUUCAUUCUGGCUAUAAUAAUGAUCCAAUCGGAUCCCAAUUUAAUGAUCUGAUAGAUAUGGUCAUUCCAUACGGCAUGGCGUUUUCAGUUUCUUUAUCUUUCUUAUCUUUUAUCUUCAAAAUUGUAGAUUUGGGAGGUUUUCGCCCUUUUGUGCGGUCGGAACGGGGCGGGGCUCAUUUUUUAAAUACACUGGUUUCAGUGUGAGCAUACAGCAGUCCGGAGCCAAAAGUUGGUGGCUCUAGCUCUUAUAGUCUCUGAGAAUUAGUCGACAAACAAGACUGACAGACGGACAGGCAGGCGUGGCUCCAUCGACUCUGCGAUUGAUGCUGAUCAAGAAUAUGUUUCUUCAUGCUAAGAGAGGCAAGCGCUAGAGAGAGAUAGCAAAUUUCAGAUACUAAUUUCACCAUGGCCUGUCGUACAGCCGCUAGAAAGUAACUUCUGCGCUUCAACAUUUCUUAUCGCUUCCAUACGAAUAUCAUCCCUGAUUUUUCUAGCGGCCACUUUUUUUCGAUCUGAGUACUAGGCUUUACUUUAUCUUCUGUCGACAGAAUCAAGUGACGAGGAAGGAAACAAGCAAAACAAGCGCAAGAGGCGUAGAAAAGAGCAUUAAAUGAAGACCAUUUAAAACAUAUUAGUGCAGUCGAAUAUACUCGGUACUCAUUUUAUCAAUUUAUUAAGAGAAAAAGAAAAAGUUUAUUCCAUUGCCAAUAAUGCGGAGCUUUCUCCAUGCAUUGCUGUGUGCUAAGCUCCUUAUCCACACUAAAAUAACAACCUAAUCCUGCUCUCAUCCAAAAUUUGAAUUUUACUAUAACAAAAUUUGAUUAUUUCGAGUCCAAAUUUGCGCUCUUAAAUUAUGGAAUAUGGAUUGGUGAUCAAGUUGUCCUGGUAAACCUUUUCUCCGUGCAACGAUGUGAAAAAAGGUAAUUAGUUCUUAUAUGUGAGCAGAAGUUUGAUGUGUCCAUUUAUCUUCACAACUUUACCGCAGAGUUCGCUGUACAGUGCUCUCCUAAAUUGUCCUAUCCAAGUUCUUUAUCGGCGGAAGAUGUUGCGUAAAGUAAAACAUCAAUACAUACAAAACAGGCCAUACAAAACAUGAUAUUUUCUACAAAUUUAGAUAUUUGACAUAAACGAUGCAAAAAAUAUCCUACCGAUUCUAUCGUAUCAAAUACAAAACCAUAAGCAAUAUCGAUAUAUCAAUCAGCAAUCCUAUGAUAUACAUAGUUUUCACCAUUGUUUUAAGAUAUUUAAGUGUAGUGAGUUUCGUUAUAAAAACUCUGCUUUUAAGCAGAAUUACCUUUUCCAAACGCGGUUAGUGCUUGAUUAUGGUAAUGUUCCUUAAAUGAACAAUGUUUACAAUUGAUGUAUAUACAAAACUGUAGUGGCUUAACUCCCCAAACACACAUACAUACGUAUGCACACGCUUAUGUGGGUGGGUAUGUCAAAGAGUUUGAGCACUAAGCAAACAACUCAUAGAGUGGUCAAACCGAGUUAAAACUGGCUGCAUAAUCAACUUCGGCUCUUGGUGAGAGAGCCUUUGGCUAAGAGAGUUUGAUGGCAAUGAAGGCUAAAUUGAAGUAAAUAAAUCAUUGCGAAUGAUAUAUGUUACAGCAAGAUAAAAUACACCGAAAAUUAUAUUUCAGUCAUGACUAUCAAUAUCAGCCAAAAACUUAUAUUUACGAUUUAUAUAUAAAAAGUAUUUUUAAUUCC
rnacentral:lncRNA from 1 species